rnacentral:rRNA from 1 species
AGUGAACGCUGGCGGUAGGCCUAACACAUGCAAGUCGAACGGCAGCACAGUAAGAGCUUGCUCUUACGGGUGGCGAGUGGCGGACGGGUGAGGAAUACAUCGGAAUCUACUUUUUCGUGGGGGAUAACGUAGGGAAACUUACGCUAAUAUCGCAUACGACCUACGGGUGAAAGCAGGGGAUCUUCGGACCUUGCGCGAUUGAAUGAGCCGAUGUCGGAUUAGCUAGUUGGCGGGGUAAAGGCCCACCAAGGCGACGAUCCGUAGCUGGUCUGAGAGGAUGAUCAGCCACACUGGAACUGAGACACGGUCCAGACUCCUACGGGAGGCAGCAGUGGGGAAUAUUGGACAAUGGGCGCAAGCCUGAUCCAGCCAUACCGCGUGGGUGAAGAAGGCCUUCGGGUUGUAAGGCCCUUUUGUUGGGAAAGAAAAGCAGCAGGUUAAUACCCCGCUGUUCUGACGGUACCCAAAGAAUAAGCACCGGCUAACUUCGUG